rnacentral:tRNA from 1 species
CAGAAAAUAGUUUAAUAUUAAAAUAUUAAUUUUGGAGAUUAAUGAUAAGAGGUUUCUUUUUUCUGA